rnacentral:rRNA from 1 species
UACGUAGGGACCGAGCGUUGUCCGGAUUCAUUGGGCGUAAAGGGCGCGUAGGCGGCCGCCUAAGUCAGACGUGAAAUCCCUCGGCUCAACCGGGGACUGCGCUGAUACUGGGUGGCUUGAAUCCGGGAGAGGGAUGCAGAAUUCCAGGUGUAGCGGUGAAAUGCGUAGAUAUCUGGAGGAAUACCGGUGGCGAAGGCGGCAUCCUGGACCGGCAUUGACGCUGAGGAGCGAAAGCCAGGGGAGCAAAGCGGG